AAGUGUUCCAGCUCUUCUAGAAUUUGUCCAGCAGGUUUUCUGCUUUUCAUUAGAAAACCCCU
rfam:Callithrix jacchus chromosome 8, whole genome shotgun sequence